GGUCAGGAUGAACGCUAGCGGCAGGCUUAACACAUGCAAGUCGAGGGGCAGCGCGAGUAGCAAUACUUGGCGGCGACCGGCGCAAGGGUGCGUAACGCGUGAGCAACAUGCCCGUAUCAGGGGGAUAAUCCAGGGAAACUUGGUCUAAUACCCCAUAGUAAUUUUGUAAGGCAUCUUAUAAGAUUUAAAGCUUUGGUGGAUACGGAUUGGCUCGCGUGACAUUAGCUGGAUGGUAAGGUAACGGCUUACCAUGGCUAUGAUGUCUAGGGGUUCUGAGAGGAAGGUCCCCCACACUGGAACUGAGACACGGUCCAGACUCCUACGGGAGGCAGCAGUGAGGAAUAUUGGACAAUGGAUGGAAAUCUGAUCCAGCCAUGCCGCGUGAAAGGAAGAAGGUCCUAUGGAUUGUAAACUUCUUUUGUAUGGGAGCAAUAAGGCCUACGAGUAGGUUGAUGAGAGUACCAUACGAAUAAGCACCGGCUAACUCCGUGCCAGCCGCCGC
rnacentral:rRNA from 1 species